UACGGGGGGAGCAAGCGUUGUUCGGAUUUACUGGGCGUAAAGGGCGCGUAGGCGGCCACUGCAAGUCGGUUGUGAAAUCUCCGGGCUUAACCCGGAAAGGUCAACCGAUACUGCAGGGCUAGAGUGCAGAAGGGGCAACUGGAAUUCUCGGUGUAGCGGUGAAAUGCGCAGAUAUCAGGAAGAACACCAACGGCGAAGACAGCUCGCUGGGACGGUACUGACGCUGAGACGCGAAAGCGUGGGAGCGAACAGG
rnacentral:rRNA from 1 species